UUAAGCUAGAAAGGGCAUACGGUGGAUGCCUAGGCACUAAGAGUCGAAGAAGGACGCGGUAAGCUGCGAAAAGCUGUGAGGAGCUGCAAGCAAGCUGAGAAUCACAGAUAUCCGAAUGGGACAACCCGUCAGUGAUAAUACGCUGACAUCGUAUAUUGAGUCAAGUAGAUAUACGAAGACAACCCGGGGAACUGAAACAUCUAAGUACCCGGAGGAAAAGAAAGCAAAAGCGAUUCCCCCAGUAGCGGCGAGCGAAAAGGGAGCAGCCCAAACCGAUUCUUCGGAAUCGGGGUAGAGGACUUCCAAAAAGAAUGGAUGGUUAGCAGAAUGAUCUGGGAAGGUCAGUCGAAGAAGGUAAUAACCCUGUAUGCGAAAGCCAGAAAUUUGGGGAAGGAUCCGGAGUACCACGAAGCACGUGAAAUUUCGUGGGAAGCAGGGGGGACCACCCUCCAAGGCUAAAUACUCCUUAGUGACCGAUAGUGAACAAGUACCGUGAGGGAAAGGUGAAAAGAACCCCGGAAGGGGAGUGAAAAAGAACCUGAAACCGUAUGCUUACAAGCUGUCACAGCACCAUACGAGUGUAGUGGCGUACUUUUUGUAGAACGGACCGGCGAGUUACGAUGUCAAGCGAGGUUAAGAUGAGAAGUCGGAGCCGAAGCGAAAGCGAGUCUGAAGAGGGCGAAAGUUUGACAUAGUAGACCCGAAACCGGGUGAUCUACCCAUGAGCAGGAUGAAGCGUUAGUAAAAUAACGUGGAGGUCCGAACCAGGUAUCGUUGAAAAGAUAUUGGAUGACUUGUGGGUAGGGGUGAAAUUCCAAUCGAACCCGGAGAUAGCUGGUUCUCCUCGAAAUAGCUUUAGGGCUAGCCUUGAAUUAGAUUAUGGGAGGUAGAGCACUGAAUAGGCUAGGGGGCUUCACCGCCUACCGAACCUUAUCAAACUACGAAUGCCGAUAAUUGAUGUUCAGGAGUCAGACUGUGGGGGAUAAGCUUCAUGGUCAAAAGGGAAACAGCCCAGACCGCCGGCUAAGGUCCCAAAGUGUGUGUUAAGUGGAAAAGGAUGUGAAAUCGCUCAGACAACCAGGAUGUUGGCUCAGAAGCAGCCACCAUUCAAAGAGUGCGUAAUAGCUCACUGGUCCAGGGGUUUUGCGCCGAAAAUGUAACGGGGCUCAAACACACCACCGAAGCCGCGGAAUGUUUUAGGACAUUGGUAGAGGAGCGUUCUUAAUGCGACGAAGGCGUACCGAGAGGAGCGUUGGAGCGUUAAGAAGUGAGAAUGCCGGUAUUAGUAUGCGAAAAGGCAGGUGAGAAUCCUGCCCGCCGAAAAUCUAAGGUUUCCUGGGGAAGGUUCGUCCGCCCAGGGUAAGUCGGGACCUAAGGCGAGGCCGAAAGGCGUAGUCGAUGGGAAACUGGUAGAUAUUCCAGUACCAGCGGAGGUCAAUUGAGUGAAGUAGUGAAGCAGAAGGAUAGGGAGAGCGCCCAGUUGGUGAGGCGUUUAAGUAAGUAGGGUGAUGUGCAGGCAAAUCCACACAUCGAGAGCCUGAGAUACGAAUACGAGUGAAAACUAGUAGCGAAGUCCCCGAUUCCCGGCUGCCAAGAAAAGCUGCUAACGAGACCGAAGGUGCCCGUACCGCAAACCGACACAGGUAGAUGGGGUGAGAAACCUAAGGCGCGCGAGAAAACUCUUGUUAAGGAACUCGGCAAAAUGAACCCGUAACUUCGGGAGAAGGGUUGCUCAUUAGUGUGAGUAUCCGUGCGAUACAGAGCACAGAUGAGUCGCAGAGAAAAGGUCCAGGCGACUGUUUAGCAAAAACACAGGUCAUUGCAAAACCGCAAGGUGAAGUAUAAUGGCUGACGCCUGCCCGGUGCUGGAAGGUUAAGGGGAAGAGUGAGAGCUUUGAACCGAAGCCCCAGUAAACGGCGGCCGUAACUAUAACGGUCCUAAGGUAGCGAAAUUCCUUGUCGGGUAAGUUCCG
rnacentral:rRNA from 1 species